rnacentral:rRNA from 1 species
UACGUAGGGUGCAAGCGUUAAUCGGAAUUACUGGGCGUAAAGGGCGCGUAGGCGGCCUCUGCAAGUCGACUGUGAAAUCUCCGGGCUUAACCCGGAAAGGUCAGCCGAUACUGCAGGGCUAGAGUGCAGAAGGGGCAACUGGAAUUCUCGGUGUAGCGGUGAAAUGCGUAGAUAUCAAGAGGAACACCUGAGGUGAAGACGGGUUGCUGGGCUGACACUGACGCUGAGGCGCGAAAGCGUGGGGAGCAAACAGG